rnacentral:lncRNA from 1 species
CUACCUUUCGAUGUUUUUGUGGAAAACGUCCCUACCUUUCAUUUUUUGGUGGAUUACACCCUUACCUUUACAUUUUUUUGCGCAAAACGUCCUUCUGUCAACUCUCCGUUAAAAUGCUCCGUUAAAUCAAAAAGGUAAUUAGCACAAAAGGUCCCUACCUUUCAAAGUUAUUGUGCAAAACGUCCCUACCUUUUAUUUUUUUAGCAUAAUUAGCAGAAAAGGUCCCUACCUUUCAAUAUUAUUGUGCAAAACGUCCCUACCUUUCAUUUUUAGCAUUUUCACCCGGGUAAUUAGCACAAAACAUCCCUACCUUUCGAUGUUUUUGUGGAAAACGUCCCUACCUUUCAUUUUUUGGUGGAUUACACCCUUACCUUUACAUUUUUUUGCGCAAAACGUCCUUCUGUCAACUCUCCGUUAAAAUGCUCCGUUAAAUCAAAAAGGUAAUUAGCACAAAAGGUCCCUACCUUUCAAAGUUAUUGUGCAAAACGUCCCUAUCUUUUAUUUUUUAGCAUAAUUAGCAGAAAAGGUCCCUACCUUUCAAUAUUAUUGUGCAAAACGUCCCUACCUUUCAUUUUUAGCAUUUUCACCCCUACCUUUC